rnacentral:rRNA from 1 species
GAAGUCUGAUGGAGCAACGCCGCGUGAGUGAUGAAGGUUUUCGGAUCGUAAAACUCUGUUGUAAGGGAAGAACCAGUACGUCAGGCAAUGGACGUACCUUGACGGUACCUUAUUAGAAAGCCACGGCUAACUACGUGCCAGCAGCCGCGGUAAUACGAAGGGGGCUAGCGUUGCUCGGAAUCACUGGGCGUAAAGGGUGCGUAGGCGGGUUUCUAAGUCAGAGGUGAAAGCCUGGAACUCAACUCCAGAACUGCCUUUGAUACUGGAAGGCUGGAGUUCGGGAGAGGUGAGUGGAACGGCGAGUGUAGAGGUGAAAUUCGUAGAUAUUCGCAAGAACACCAGUGGCGAAGGCGGCUCACUGGCCCGAUACUGACGCUGAGGCACGAAAGCGUGGGGAGCAAACA